AUUGAACGCUGGCGGCAUGCUUUACACAUGCAAGUCGAGCGGUAACAUGCCUUCGGGUGCUGACGAGUGGCGAACGGGUGAGUAAUGCAUCGGAACGUACCCAGAGGUGGGGGAUAACGCAGCGAAAGCUGUGCUAAUACCGCAUGUGAUCUGAGGAUGAAAGCGGGGGACCGAGCAGCAAUGUUUGGCCUCGCGCCUUUGGAGCGGCCGAUGUCGGAUUAGCUAGUUGGUGGGGUAAAGGCCUACCAAGGCGACGAUCCGUAGCUGGUCUGAGAGGACGACCAGCCACACUGGGACUGAGACACGGCCCAGACUCCUACGGGAGGCAGCAGUGGGGAAUUUUGGACAAUGGGCGAAAGCCUGAUCCAGCAAUGCCGCGUGCGGGAAGAAGGCCUUCGGGUUGUAAACCGAUUUUGGCAGGAACGAAACGGUGUCCGCUAAUACCGGGAGCUAAUGACGGUACCUGCAUAAUAAGCACCGGCUAACUACGUG
rnacentral:rRNA from 1 species